rnacentral:misc_RNA from 1 species
GAAAUGCGAUAAGUAAUGUGAAUUGCAGAAUUCAGUGAAUCAUCGAAUCUUUGAACGCACAUUGCGCCCCCUGGUAUUCCGGGGGGCAUGCCUGUCCGAGCGUCAUUACUGCCCUCAAGCGCGGCUUGUGUGUUGGGCCCCGUCCCCCUGGGGACAGGCCCGAAAGGCAGUGGCGGCGCCGUGCCCGGUCCUCGAGCGUAUGGGGCUUUGUCACCCGCUCUGGAGGCCCGGCCGGUGUCUGCCGACCCCCCGACGUUCGCGUCUUUCCAGUUGACCUCGGAUCAGGCAGGGAUACCCGCUGAACUUAA